UGUAAUGAGAGGACACACUGAGGUACU
rnacentral:piRNA from 1 species